rnacentral:lncRNA from 10 species
AGUUCUUCCCGGCCGCCGCCGCCUCCGCCCCGCCGCUUCCUCCUCCGCCUGCCGGCCUCCUUCGCCCCGCCCCGUCCGCGCAGCUCGUCCGGCCCGCCCGCAGGCCAGCUUCUCUCGGGAGCCUCCACCCAGGCGCAUGGCUCCAUGAAGCAAGAGGAGGAGGCAGAGCGCGAGAGAUCCCGUCCGCCCCAGCCGCGUCUGGGCCAGGAGAAAAGCAAAACCAUAUUCCUGCUGCUGUCAGUUUUGAUGCACUGAGAAAACUUCAGAGACCUAAGCUUUUUCCAGAGAAGAGAAGCUUUACUGGUGUUCCAGCCCUAAGAAACUUAAAUCCUCAGUGUGACACAACUCAGUCCUUCUACUGCAGCAGCUCUUUUAUAAAAGCCUCCCAAAGCUCCAAGAAGGAACAAAGAAUGUGACCCAGUAAGCUCACACCAUAAGUCUAUAUUGCAGAAACCUUUGUUCAACAAAACUGCAGAUGCUCUGUUGAAUCCACUGGAGAUUGUCCUGAUACUAAGGACAAGCUCAUAUGACAUUAACAGACAAGACACUUUUCAGAAAGACAGGCAACGUGUUGGACCUUCCGGAGCUUCUCAGAAGACAGAGGGUUUUCUUUUGAGGUAAAUUUGAUAGUACAUUUUGAUAGUA